rnacentral:rRNA from 1 species
UACGGGGGGGAGCAAGCGUUGUUCGGAUUUACUGGGCGUAAAGGGCGCGUAGGCGGCCACCGCAAGUCGACUGUGAAAUCUCCGGGCUUAACCCGGAAAGGUCAGCCGAUACUGCGGGGCUAGAGUGCAGAAGGGGCAACUGGAAUUCUCGGUGUAGCGGUGAAAUGCGUAGAUAUCAAGUGGAACACCAGUGGCGAAGGCGAAUCCCUGGAAAAUACCUGACACUGAGGCACGAAAAGCUAGGGGAGCAAACAGG